CAAAAACUAGCGAAAAAAAUCCCCGAGAGAAAGUCCAAUCGCGUCCCGCAAACCCUAGCCACCGCUGACCUCCCCUGCCCGUGCCGCAGACGCACACCAUCCUGUUCUCCUCCCUCCCGUCAGCGACCUGCCUCCACUCCACGAGGCAGAUCGAUCGGGACCCAUGGCCGGGGUCGCCACCGCGCCUCGCCGCGCAGCGCAUGGGGUAUCCACCUCCCCUCCCCCAUCUUCCUCCAUCAAAUGCUGGCAGCAACGACCGUGAGUGUGGCUGCUCCUCGUCCGUGCUCCGGCAAACGUCCCCUACCCACCCCCUCCGCUGACGGCGGACAGAACAAGGUGGGUUCAACCGACAGAGCCCCGGGCGAGAUCGCGUGCGAGUGGACGGAGCAGGCGCUCGUUGUCGUGGUGAACCAUGGGCGUAGUCAGAGCAGAGAGUCGGGGCGUAGAAAGAUGAGGAGAACGGGGUAGGCUUCAUGAUGGAAGGAGAUACGGCGGCGGACAAGGAGGAGGUCGGGAAUUACACGGAGGUACAGGUGGAUGUCAACAACCUGCCCCCUACGGCGUCGACGGUUGUAAUCUAUCUAUUUGAGGUCAGAUGAAGAGCUGCACAGGGGUCAGCUGGAGGUGCUCCUUCCGUUCUGCAUGUCGAAGAACCGGCGGCGGCGGCGUCCUGCAUCAAUGGCGUGGCGAGGAAUCAGAGGAGAUAUGGGAGGAGGAAGGAGGGACCCGAAAAGGGGCUCACCGACGUGGCGGCGUUCGCCGGAGGUUGGCUGGCAGCGGGUUCCCACAGCAACGGCGGCACGCAUGUGGCGCCCUGCGCCCUCCCUGGUGGCGCUAGCAGCAAGGAGGAGGAGGCGUUGCGGCAAGAUUGGCUUCGGAUGGCCAAGAUAGGGCUGCAGCGGGCCCUAGCGCUGCUGGUCCCUUGGGAGAGCUGACCUCGACGUCAACUUCUACUUCACGUAGUACAACACUCUGUACCAGAGAAGGACAUAAUGAGGCAAAGCCCAGACCAUAAUAUUGCACCUGUUGUUGCUCAUUUCUUGAUUGUUUCUUUGGCAAAGUUUUGGCUGCUUCAACAAAAGGCAGUACUGGCAGCCCGCAGUCGAAAACCCAAAAGGUAUGCUAUCCAAUCACAAGCAAUCCUCUGAUGUUGCUAUGCACUGUGGAACUUUAUCUGGAGCUUAGUUUACUACUCUCUCUGUUCCUAUAUGAAGUUUUGGUAGUUCAAAUUAAAAUACCAAAACGUCAUACAUUUAGGAACAGAGGGAGUAUUUUAAUCUUUUGCUGGUAUACAUUUAGAAAUCAAGUCAGUCAGCUUCUUCAAGAAAGGGUCAAUCUGCAUAUUCCCGGCUAACAUCUGACGGAGUUUGGUCUGAUACUCGCGAAACAUAAAUACCAGAUGAUGCGAGAAUUGGGGCUAAAAGAGUUGCAGUUCUCCACAAUCUGUGCCAAAAGGUUGGAACCAGAUGUUAAGCACACAGUUCCUACCUGUACUGAUGCACAGAAGCUUAUGGAAGCCGGGAAAAUCCGGAUGGCUGAGGGAACCCUAAAUGAGGCCUAUGCACUAUCUUCUUGAAGCUUUUUCCCUACUUCAACAGACCAAUGGUCCCAUGCACAAGGAUGAUGCGGACUAUUAUCAGUAACACACAAACUUACUCAUACAUGAUUAAUUAUUAGUAUUUUCUUUUACCAGGAAAUUCAUAUGUUGAGAUCCUAAACCCUCUUGAACACAAUUUUCAGAUUUGUGUUGACCAUGCUUACUAUAAAUGUAUUGUUUGAAAUGUUUCUUAGAUAAACCAGUAUGAGAGACAUUAUUAAGAAUAUAUUGCAAUAUCACAUAUAUGUCUGCAAACAUGCGAGUUACUAUGAAGAUGAUUAGAUAAGAAGAUUUCCUAUGAAACGAUAUUCCUAAUUGAAACAACUUAUCUUUGUUACUGUGAACGUAUUAACAAUUUCUUUUUGCGAACAAACUUCUAUUGAAAUCCUUCUCUUUAUGUGUAUUGUUUUGCCUCAAUUACCUUUGCUAUGGUUUUGUCCCAUACCGGCGACCCAGCAAGAGCAAUUGUGCAGCAACACAGAGAGCGUAACAUAAAUGAGCGAUGCCUUGGUCUAUACCGUCCAGAUAGAGGCAUGUAAUUUGAUUAAGUUUAUUUGUGCUUAUUCUUCGUAAUGGCCGUCGAUUCAUGUUGCCAUAAAUGAACUUAUUUUUCAAUUUGAAACCAAAAAUUGAAAAGAAAGAGUGGAAGGCCCAAUUUCUUGGUUAAAAAGCAAUAGAUUUUUUGAAAAUUUAACUUUGGAUGUUACAUUUAUGAGUUGUCUACUUUUUUGUAGCAGUAGUUCUAUCAUGGGUUCAAUCACACCGAACUUGUGCUGCGACACAUGUCCCGUACAUUUCUGGUGCUGAGUUUAGCAUUAGGUCCUGAUCAUCUAGAUGUUGCAGCACCUCUUAUAAAUGUGGCGAUGAUGUACCAGGAUGCGAGCAAUAUGAGUACUGCUCUUAGGUAUAUUUAGGAAGCACUUAAGAAGGAUGAGUUCCUUUUAGGCCCAGGUCAUGUUCAAACAACAGUUUGCAGUCAUGCUCUUGCCAUUGCAUUCAGCUGUAUGGGUGCAUACAAGCUUUCAGUUCAAGUAGAAUGAAAUAGGAGAAGUUUAAGGAAGAGGGCGGUUAAUCAUGUCUUUGUUUUAGUUUGAUUUUCUAAUAUAUAUACACAUUGUAGGUGUUCUUAUUUAUGUUUCUUGCUGUCACAAAAAACAUUAUCUUUGUUGUAGCAAAAUAAUAAGUUGUUGCAUUUUUUUUAGCUGUGUUGGUCUCGUCGCAUCUAAUAGAAAACAUACAACUUAUACAUUCUGUAGGAUGCAUAUCUUUUUCCUGGAAGUCGUACACUUAGAGAGAUGAUGGUAAGCUGGGGAACAUUUUUUUUAAUUGCGGAUUUGCUCAGCAGUGUUGGUGAUGUAUGAUAUUUCCUAGGGGCAAGUUUAGAUAGCAUGCCUCUUUUUCAGAUAGCUAAAGACAAUAUUGCUGACCCUUGUUUCUUGGAGAUCAUCUCUUUCGUGUUGUGGAAUAUUUGGAAAUAGAUGAAUGCUAGGAUUUUUUUAAGGGAAGCAAACAUCUUUGUCUGGAUGGCUCUGGUCACAUAGAGUUAAACCAAAGUCCAUUCUGAGUGCUUGGAUUUCCUCUCUGUCUUGAGCUCUUGAUCCUUAUACUAUAAUUUUUCUUUUUCUCUUAGGGGUAUCCUCUACCCCUAUGUAAUUAUGUAACUUUGUACAUUCAUCCCCUUUUCCCUCCUUCAUUUUAGUGAAAAUUACACAGUAGGGGGUUCCCCUACUUUUUGCCAUCUUUUUUUUGAAGAAACAUCACUAAAUAGUCUUAAUUUUUAUUUCAUUUAAUUUCCUUAGUCAUGUGUGGAAAUGUUGGGAGAUUAAAGUUUAUGCUCAGUUUACACACCGUGGAGGGAACCAUGGCAGAGUCAUAGAGGGGCAUCCAGAUAAUGUGAGACACUCAUUGUAUAUAUGGUCACAAAAUACAUAACCAGGAUGGUAAUGAGUUGAGAAUGAAGAUUUUAUUAUCCUUGUAGAAGUACCAUGCGGGCGAAGCAAAAGACAAUAUUCCUGACGUUUUAUAGAAAUUUGUCAAGCGCAACAAGUAGAUCUUAGUUUAUAGUAGAUUCUCCCUCGGCAAAGAAAUACAAGAGUGUGUAGAUCACUAAACGUUACGAAGGGAGUAAUUAUUAGUGCUUUCUUUGUAUACAUCGUUGAAUUACAUUGUAAGUGG